rnacentral:rRNA from 1 species
GACAGAGGGUGCAAACGUUGUUCGGAAUUACUGGGCGUAAAGGGCGCGUAGGCGGCGACCCAAGUCAGUUGUGAAAGUCCUGGGCUUAACCUGGGGACUGCAUUUGAUACUGGGUUGCUUGAAUUCGGGAGAGGAUAGCGGAAUUCCCAGUGUAGAGGUGAAAUUCGUAGAUAUUGGGAAGAACACCGGUGGCGAAGGCGGCUAUCUGGACCGACAUUGACGCUGAGGCGCGAAAGCGUGGGGAGCAAACAGG